rnacentral:rRNA from 1 species
UACGUAGGGGGCUAGCGUUAUCCGGAAUUACUGGGCGUAAAGGGUGCGUAGGCGGUCUUUCAAGCCAGAAGUGAAAGGCUACGGCUCAACCGGUAGUAAGCUUUUGGAACUGUAAGACUUGAGUGCAGGAGAGGUUAUCGGGAAUUCCCGGUGUAGCGGUGAAAUGCGUAGAGAUCGGGAGGAACACCAGUGGCGAAGGCGGGUAACUGGACUGCAACUGACGCUGAGGCGCGAAAGUGUGGGGAGCAAACAGGAUUAGAUACCCGUGUAGUCCCUGAGCGGGCU